UCCUCCAACGCCACCUAUGAAGGAGAUUCGCACCUCUAGAGACGGACCUUCUCCACCUCCUCCGAAGCCACCCGUGAAGGAGAAUAACACCAUAGGAGCUGGACCUCCUCCACCACCACCUUUAAAGGAGAAUAACACCAUUGCAGCUGGACCUCCUCCACCACCACCACCACCUCCUCCAACGCCACCUUUAAAGGAGAAUAACACCAUUGCAGCUGGACCUCCUCCAGCACCACCACCUCCUCCAAUGCCACCUUUGAAGGAGAAUAACAAAAUUGGAGUUGGACCUCCUCCUCCACCACCACCACCACCUCCGCCUUUGAAGGAGAAUCUUGUUAUUGGAUCUGGAC
rnacentral:lncRNA from 1 species